rnacentral:rRNA from 1 species
UACGUAGGGUGCAAGCGUUGUCCGGAAUUAUUGGGCGUAAAGAGCUCGUAGGCGGUUUGUCGCGUCUGCUGUGAAAACUCAGGGCUUAACCCUGAGCCUGCAGUGGGUACGGGCAGACUAGAGUGUGGUAGGGGGAGAUCGGAAUUCCUGGUGUAGCGGUGGAAUGCGCAGAUAUCAGGAGGAACACCGGUGGCGAAGGCGGGUCUCUGGGCAAUUCCUGGCGCUGGAGGCGCGAAAGCGUGGGGAGCAAACGGG